AUUGAACGCUGGCGGCAGGCCUAACACAUGCAAGUCGAGCGGAUGAAGGGAGCUUGCUCCUGGAUUCAGCGGCGGACGGGUGAGUAAUGCCUAGGAAUCUGCCUGGCAGUGGGGGAUAACGUCCGGAAACGGGCGCUAAUACCGCAUACGUCCUGAGGGAGAAAGUGGGGGAUCUUCGGACCUCACGCUAUCAGAUGAGCCUAGGUCGGAUUAGCUAGUUGGUGGGGUAAAGGCCUACCAAGGCGACGAUCCGUAACUGGUCUGAGAGGAUGAUCAGUCACACUGGAACUGAGACACGGUCCAGACUCCUACGGGAGGCAGCAGUGGGGAAUAUUGGACAAUGGGCGAAAGCCUGAUCCAGCCAUGCCGCGUGUGUGAAGAAGGUCUUCGGAUUGUAAAGCACUUUAAGUUGGGAGGAAGGGCAGUAAGUUAAUACCUUGCUGUUUUGACGUUACCAACAGAAAAAGCACCGGCUAACUUCGUG
rnacentral:rRNA from 1 species